ensembl:lncRNA
AUGUGAGGUCACCAUCUGCCCUUGGGCACCCUUUAUUUCAAGGGGUGUGCUAAGCAGCCAGAAAUACAGGCUUACAAAGUACCGUAAGAUUACAGGAAUCUGAUACUUCUGCCCAGAGAGGCUGCAAGGAUUUAGUCACAGUGAAGAGCUACACUAAUAAUGGGGAACAAAACACCGGCAACAACAAAAGGAAUUCUCCUUUUUGUAUAAGGCUGUAGUUGCUUUAAAUUGGUGAACUGGUGGCUACUUUCAACUUGAACACGAUUUGACUUAUUAAAAUGCAAAAGGUCUAAUAUUACAGUUUUACUGUGAGACUGUGCCAUGAAAAGCAGAAGAUAAGC